CAGCCGCCGCGGGAAAACGAGGGGUGCAAGCGUUAUUCGGAUUGAUUGGGCGUAAAGGGUGUGCAGACGGCUUAUUAAGUCACUUGUUAAAUUCUUCGGCCUAACUGAAGGUCUGCAAGUGAUACUGAUGAGCUAGAGGGUGGAAGAGAGAAGUGGAAUUCUCGGAGUAGCGGUAAAAUGCGUAGAUCUCGAGAGGAACACCAAUGGCGAAGGCAGCUUCUUGGUCCAUUCCUGACGUUCAUACACGAAAGCGUGGGGAGCAAACAGGAUUAGAUACCCCCGUAGUCCCUGUCUCUUAUAC
rnacentral:rRNA from 1 species